CACCUAUCCCGCCGUUCCUCGCGCCCCUGAAGGAACUGGCUGGUUGUUACGUAAUGGCGUUUAGUGUAUUCAUACAAUGUAAAGUUCCCUUUUUCUUAUGGGAGCCCUAAUGCAAUUUGACGUUGAAGUACAGAAGCUGAGUGGUGUAGCUGGAGACUGGGACAGAUCAGUUGGCUUUUUGGAAACAAUUCAGGACGUUUCUGUAAUGAAGUACAUAGGCUUCAGUACCGGCUGUCAAGUGGAUGGAGUAUGUUGUGUUGUAGUACCGGGCAGGGGAGCAGACUGAUGGGUUGUUUUUUCCUAGAGGGUUUCGGACGUGGAGGAAAGUACAGCUGACAUUAAAGUAGUUUUGCAUCUUGCUAAAAAGGGCUUUACUGGAUCUUAUUCUUUUGGCUAAUUUAAGCAAUCAUCCCAACAGGCAGUAUGCCUUAUUUGGCUGCUUGACACAGAACCAAACGGCCUCUUAUGUGAACCAAGGGACGCAGUUUGCUGUCACACUGUGGGAGAAGCAGUGGAUGUUGACAAUAAUGGACCUGUAGCUCUAAGAUUGCAAACAUGCAGAAUUACAAAUCAAAAGAUGCGCCUCCAUCUGAAUUUGGGCAUAAACAGGACAGAAGUAUCCUGCAAGGGUUGACUGUAGCAUAUGAAGAUUUUAACAAGACAAAGGCUGCU